CCCUUAGAUGUUCUGGGCGGCCCGCGCACUACAAUGGCGUGUGCAGCGAGUGCCGAAGUAGAGUUUUCCGAGGUAUUCUUGCAAUGCUCGUUUUGAUGGGGAUAGACCCUUGCAACUGUUGGCUUUGAACGAGGAAUUCCUUGUAAGCAUGGUUUAUCAUCCGACGCUGAAUGCGUCCCUGCCCUUUGUACACACCGCCCGUCGCUCCUACCGAUGAGUCGUCCGGUGAAGUUCGUAGACCUCGUGAUCGCGGAUCACUGGGGGAAGCAAAAUGAACCUCGCGGUUUAGAGGAAGGAGAAGUCGUAACA
rnacentral:rRNA from 1 species